rnacentral:rRNA from 1 species
CCUACGGGAGGCUGCAGUGGGGAAUAUUGCACAAUGGGGGAAACCCUGCUGCAGCGACGCCGCGUGAGUGAAGAAGUAAUUCGUUACGUAAAGCUCUAUCAGCAGGGAAGAAAUACUGACCUUACGGUCAGCAGACGGUACCUGAGUAAGACGCCCCGGCUAACUACGUGCCAGCAGCCGCGGUAAUACGUAGGGGGCAAGCGUUAUCCGGAUUUACUGGGUGUAAAGGGAGAGUAGACGGUUCGCCAAGUCUGGAGUGAAAUGCCGCAGCUUAACUGCGGAACUGCUUUUGAAACUGGCGAAGUAGAGUGCGGGAGGGGUAAGCGGAAUUCCGAGUGUAGCGGUGAAAUGCGUAGAUAUUAGGAGGAACACCGAUGGCGAAGGCGGCUUACUGGACCGUAACUGACGUUGAGGCUCGAAAGCGUGGGGAGCAAACAGGAUUAGAUACCCUUGUAGUC